AGCAGCCGCGGUAAUUCCAGCUCCAAUAGCGUAUAUUAAAGUUGUUGCAGUUAAAAAGCUCGUAGUUGAAUUUCGGGGUUAGUAGGUUGGUCAUGCCUCUGGUAUGUACUGGUCUCACUGAUUCCUCCUUCCUGAUGAACCUUAAUGCCAUUAAUUUGGUGUUUUGGGGAAUUUGGACUGUUACUUUGAAAAAAUUAGAGUGUUUAAAGCAGGCUUAUUGCUCGAAUACAUUAGCAUGGAAUAAUAAAAUAGGACGGCAUGGUUCUAUUUUGUUGGUUUCUAGGAUCACCGUAAUGAUUAAUAGGGAUAGUUGGGGGCAUUAGUAUUCAAUUGUCAGAGGUGAAAUUCUUGGAUUUAUUGAAGACUAACUACUGCGAAAGCAUUUGCCAAGGAUGUUUUCAUUAAUCAAGAACGAAAGUUAGGGGAUCGAAGACGAUCAGAUACCGUCGUAGUCUUAACCAUAAACUAUGCCGACUAGGAAUCAGACGAUGUUAAUUUUAAU
rnacentral:misc_RNA from 1 species